GAAGACUCAUAGCUGUGUGGUAGAGCUUCUGCUUUGCAUGCAGAAGGUCCUGGUUCAAUCCCUGGCAUCUGCU